UGGGUCGGCUGGACGGUCGCGUCACGGGUUCUCCCGUGCCGAGGAACGUCCGGGCUCCACAGGGCAGGACGGUGGGUAACGCCCACCCGGAGCAAUCCGCGAGACAGUGCCACAGAGAGCAGACCGCCGCGGUCCGUCAGGACCGGGGUAAGGGUGAAAGGGUGGUGUAAGAGACCACCGGGGUCGUGGUGACACGACCCGCGAGGUAAACCUCGUCCGGAGCAAGGCCAGACAGGGGAUGACGACGCGGCUCGCCGAGUCCCCGGGUAGGCCGCUGGAGCGGCACGGCAACGUGUCGCCGAGAGAGAUGACCGUCCACGGGGUCCCCCGGGACCCCCGGACAGAACCCGGCGUACAGGCCGGCCCAUUCG
rnacentral:RNase_P_RNA from 1 species